rnacentral:rRNA from 1 species
GUGCCUAAUACAUGCAAGUCGAACGCUUUUUCUUUCACCGGAGCUUGCUCCACCGAAAGAAAAAGAGUGGCGAACGGGUGAGUAACACGUGGGUAACCUGCCCAUCAGAAGGGGAUAACACUUGGAAACAGGUGCUAAUACCGUAUAACAAGUAAAACCGCAUGGUUUUACUUUGAAAGGCGCUUUUGCGUCACUGAUGGAUGGACCCGCGGUGCAUUAGCUAGUUGGUGAGGUAACGGCUCACCAAGGCAACGAUGCAUAGCCGACCUGAGAGGGUGAUCGGCCACAUUGGGACUGAGACACGGCCCAAACUCCUACGGGAGGCAGCAGUAGGGAAUCUUCGGCAAUGGACGAAAGUCUGACCGAGCAACGCCGCGUGAGUGAAGAAGGUUUUCGGAUCGUAAAACUCUGUUGUUAGAGAAGAACAAGGAUGAGAGUAAAAUGUUCAUCCCUUGACGGUAUCUAACCAGAAAGCCACGGCUAACUACGUGCCAGCAGCCGCGGUAAUACGUAGGUGGCAAGCGUUGUCCGGAUUUAUUGGGCGUAAAGCGAGCGCAGGCGGUUUCUUAAGUCUGAUGUGAAAGCCCCCGGCUCAACCGGGGAGGGUCAUUGGAAACUGGGAAACUUGAGUGCAGAAGAGGAGAGUGGAAUUCCAUGUGUAGCGGUGAAAUGCGUAGAUAUAUGGAGGAACACCAGUGGCGAAGGCGGCUCUCUGGUCUGUAACUGACGCUGAGGCUCGAAAG